AUACGGAGGAUCCGAGCGUUAUCCGGAUUUAUUGGGUUUAAAGGGUGCGCAGGCGGCCAUUUAAGUCAGCGGUUAAAUCGUGGGGCUCAACCCCAUUCUGCCGUUGAUACUGGGUGGCUUGAUUGCGGUCGAGGUUGGCGGAAUUCGUUGUGUAGCGGUGAAAUGCAUAGAUAUGACGAAGAACACCGAUUGCGUAGGCAGCUGUCCAGACCGCAAAUGACUCUCACGCGCGAGAGCACGGGGAUAGAACAGGCUUAUAGCCCCUGGUAGUCGGCACAGUAAACGUUGAAUGCUUGUUUUCGAAGAUAUAAUGUCGAAGGCAAAGCGCCAGCGAUGAGUAUUAACCCUGGGGCCUUAGCCGGUAACGGUGAGACUCAAAUCAAUUUACGGAA
rnacentral:rRNA from 1 species